rnacentral:rRNA from 1 species
UGGCUCAGAACGAACGCUGGCGGCGUGCCUAACACAUGCAAGUCGAACGAGAAAGUGGAGCAAUCCAUGAGUAAAGUGGCGCACGGGUGAGUAACACGUGACUAACCUACCCUCGAGUGGGGAAUAACCUCGGGAAACCGGGGCUAAUACCGCAUAAUGUCUUUGGGGUGCAAUUCCCUGGGGAUCAAAGGAGCAAUUCGCUUGAGGAGGGGGUCGCGGCUGAUUAGCUAGUUGGCGGGGUAAUGGCCCACCAAGGCGAAGAUCGGUAGCCGGCCUGAGAGGGCGCACGGCCACACUGGAACUGAAACACGAUCCAGACUCCUACG